rfam:Brachypodium distachyon strain Bd21 chromosome 3, whole genome shotgun sequence.
UUACUACUCCCUCCGUCCCAUAUUAUUUGUCUCAAAUUUGUCCAAAUAUGAACGUAUCUAUGCCUAAAAAGCGUCUAGAUACAUGUAAUAUUUCGACAAUUAAUAUGUGACGGAGGGAGUAUUAA